rnacentral:rRNA from 1 species
GACGAACGCUGGCGGCGUGCCUAAUACAUGCCAGUUGAGCGAUGAAGAUUGGUGCUUGCACCAAUUUGAAGAGCAGCGAACGGGUGAGUAACGCGUGGAGAAUCUGCCUUUGAGCGGGGGACAACAUUUGGAAACGAAUGCUAAUACCGCAUAACAACUUUAAACAUAAGUUUUAAGUUUGAAAGAUGCAAUUGCAUCACUCAAAGAUGAUCCCGCGUUGUAUUAGCUAGUUGGUGAGGUAAAGGCUCACCAAGGCGAUGAUACAUAGCCGACCUGAGAGGGUGAUCGGCCACAUUGGGACUGAGACACGGCCCAAACUCCUACGGGAGGCAGCAGUAGGGAAUCUUCGGCAAUGGACGAAAGUCUGACCGAGCAACGCCGCGUGAGUGAAGAAGGUUUUCGGAUCGUAAAACUCUGUUGGUAGAGAAGAACGUUGGUGAGAGUGGAAAGCUCAUCAAGUGACGGUAACUACCCAGAAAGGGACGGCUAACUACGUG